rnacentral:rRNA from 1 species
GUUUCCUACGGGACGCAGCAGUGGGGAAUAUUGCACAAUGGGGGAAACCCUGAUGCAGCGACGCCGCGUGAGCGAAGAAGUAUUUCGGUAUGUAAAGCUCUAUCAGCAGGGAAGAAAAAUGAUGGUACCUGAGUAAGAAGCACCGGCUAAAUACGUGCCAGCAGCCGCGGUAAUACGUAUGGUGCAAGCGUUAUCCGGAUUUACUGGGUGUAAAGGGGGCGCAGACGGCAGCGCAAGCCAGGAGUGAAAGCCCGGGGCCCAACCCCGGGACUGCUCUUGGAACUGCGCGGCUGGAGUGCAGGAGG